rnacentral:rRNA from 1 species
UGGGGAAUAUUGGACAAUGGGCGCAAGCCUGAUCCAGCAAUGCCGCGUGUGUGAAGAAGGCCUUCGGGUUGUAAAGCACUUUUGUUUGGGAAGAAAUCCGGUUGGUUAAUACCUGAUCGGGAUGACGGUACCAAAAGAAUAAGCACCGGCUAACUUCGUGCCAGCAGCCGCGGUAAUACGAAGGGUGCAAGCGUUAAUCGGAAUUACUGGGCGUAAAGCGUGCGUAGGUGGUUUGUUAAGUCAGAUGUGAAAGCCCUGGGCUCAACCUGGGAACUGCAUUUGAUACUGGCAGGCUAGAGUGCGGUAGAGGGUGGUGGAAUUCCCGGUGUAGCGGUGAAAUGCGUAGAGAUCGGGAGGAACAUUCGUGGCGAAGGCGGCCACCUGGACCAGCACUGACACU